GGCAAUCGCUGCUCUACUUUCUGUCUGUAUGGAACCGCCCAUCCAGGACUCAGACAAUCGCUCCUGCCUGUGAAUCAGCCACAUCCCGACCUGCCUGUCCCGAAAACAGUGACCAUCACCACACCUCCUGCAUGGGCUUGUAAGCACAAUCACUGGAUCCACAAGAGAGGACAGCGACUGUGGAAGAUUGUGGCUGGCCUUUUGAACUCAUUUGGAGUGGGCAUCAGGGUGAAGAGACUUGUGUCUUCUCCACUUGAACAAGAUUUUCAUCACUCGCUGGCUGGUUUAGAGGCUUCGAAAUAACGUCCCCAGACACACUUUCAAUCAGCGGCUCACUGGGAGCCAGGACACACAGGGGGACUUACACGUGGCUUUACCAGAUCAAGCCCAGCAGACAUACAAAGCACAAACCCAGCCAGCCAGGGAAGAUCUGCUUAGGGUCAUCGUAGAGGUCAUGCCACGGAUGGUGAGGAGUGUAGGGCAGCCUGGUUUUAUGCUAUGGAAGCAGAAGCAGCCAACAGCACAGAGUUCGGUUCAGCCAGCACAAGGAUGUCUAGAAUGUUCUUUUCACACAUUCAGUCACUGAACACUUACUUCUACUCCUAUACCUCCAUGCCUUUGCUGAACACCUACUGGACAUCUACCGUGUCUGUAAUUUCUAGACAUGGAGGCUGUAGCAGUCAAUAAAACAGCCCAAAUCUCUGUCCAUAUAGCCCUCCCUAGAUGGAGACAGCGAGCAAGUGAAGAGAUCGCAUCAAGUUCUGAUAAACGACGGGCAGUUCUGUGCGGUGGCAAGUAAAGAAAAAAAUCAAAUGUACUGGAAGACAAGCAGUAAAGGCCUCCUGGCAGCCUCCGAGGCUGGGCGCCUAGUCAUGGAGCUCAGGAGACAAGCCAUGCUGCAGCUACACGUUUCUCCUACCGUAGCUGGGAACUGACCAGGAGGGAACUUUCUGGUUUUGGAAAGCCAUGAAAGUCGGAACAGAAUGAAGGAUCGUGUUUUGGGAUGCUAGAAGUCCUCUGCAUGCAUGUGUUUGUAAGCGUGUGUGUGUGUGUGUGUGUGUGUGUGUGUGUGUGUGUGUGUGUGUGUGUGUGUAAUUGAAGGUGGGGUGUGGAUGCACACGUGCAGGAUGUUUAGCACAAAGAGACGAGCUGGGUAAAUUUUCUGGUUUCUGCAUCUUCAAAUCAUCAUCAAGCUGAUGGCACAGAGCAGGAAAACAAUCUCUAAAGAGAAAAUAAAGGCACGCUCCUCACGAAACAGGACUGCCAUAUUUAGCCAAUAAAAACACAGGACACCUAGUUAAACCUGAAUUUCAGAUGAGUAGCACAUAAUUUUUUAGUAAGCACACAUUCUGUGCAUCAUUCUGGACACCCUACCUUCCCCCAUCCCCACCACACACCAUUGUUACCUGCAAUUCAGAUUUUACAGACCAUGCCGUGUUUGAUCCACAAACUCACCAUGAAAAAAAUGGGUUUACCUGCUGUCCUUAAAGCAACCUAAAACCUACACACCACAUUUGGUUUUAAAAAGAUCUUAUUUUCUUUUUGGACUUGUUCUUUUUUUUUUUUUCAGGAAUCCCCCUAGUCACUAGAGAAUGUCGUCUGUGAAAUGAGGAAGUGGUCACAGGAGCCCUCUGCUGUUUCCUGCAGACUUCAUGUCUGUAAAGUACCAUGGCACAGGCCCCUUCAGAACACUGUGCUCUCCAGGAGAAAAACCAAUUAAGAAUGCUUUCAAAGGAUUGCUCAGAGCAGGCUUUAGUAGCCAACACGUCUCCCGGCCUGUCCAGUUUCUUCUUUCCUGUCUACCUUGCACAGUGAUAGAAUCCUUCCUAACACACAGGUAGCUGAGAAGUCUCUGGAAGGGAUGAUAGGCCGAUGGGAAAGCACAGGAGAAAAUGUCCCACAGGCCCCGGUGGGAGGUGACCCACAGACUGCCAGAGGAAGUGCCAUCGUCCUUGUCAUCAGAACAAAGGAGGACGGGAGUGAUGCUCGGGCUCUCUCAAGUGUUCACAAUGUGUCACUCUGGACCAGCUGGCCUUAUCAGUCCGCAACAAGUUUGAAGUACCGGGGCCUGCGUCACGGAGCCAUUGUUAGGACUAAAUAGCGUCAUCAGUAAGACCUUGAUCAAUGUUAGUCAUUAUUGUCACCUGGGGCUCUUUCUCCUAACAAGCCCAGCUGUAAUUUUUAUAAAUAACCUCUCCCGAUGGUGACUGGAGUGCGUAUUCACAGAACAGCAUGUAAACCAGAAAACCAGAAUGAAAAAAAUUAAAAAGAAACCCUCCAUCUUUCCUUACCUCUUAUUUUGUGUCAGUAAAGACCACCCACCUGCCAGGCUUUUAGAAUCACAGAUUGCUGGCCCCCAGUCACAUCUAAUAAAUCAGAACCUCCAGGAGUAGAGCUAAUAUACCUGCAUUUUUUUUUUAAACAAAAGCAUUUGUCUUAGUUACAGUUUUAUUGCUGUGAAGAGACACUAUGGCCACGGCAACUCUUCAAAAGGAAAAACAUUUAAUGGGCUGGCAGCUCACAGUUUCAGAGGUUCAGUCCAUUAUCAUCAUGGCAGGGAGCAUGGUGGCAUGCAGGCAGACAUGGUGCUUGGAGAAGUAACUGAGUUUUGCAUCCUGGUCUGUAGGGAGCAGGAAGAGAGAGAGAGACCCUGGGCCUGGCAAGAGCUUGAAACCGCAAAGCCCACCCCCAGUGACACACUUCCCCCAACAAGGCCACACCUCCUAUUCGUUAUAAUCUUGUCAAAUAGUUCCACUUCCUGGUGACUACAUGAGCCUAUGGGAUCCAUUCUUAUUCAAACCACCACCACUUUCCAGAACAUUCUCUAGAUAACUGUGUUUAAGGAACCCUGACACUCCUUUGUGUGCUCUGUUUCUCAUAUACUUUAAAAAGUUGGAUAGGAUUGUACGUUCGGUUUGUUACUUGCUUUGGCCAAGCUGAGAGAUCUUAGAUCAUCUGUCGUCCUCCUCCUCCUCCUCCUCCUCCU